rnacentral:rRNA from 1 species
AUCUCGCGUAAUGCCUCUAGAUUUAAGUUGAUCAUGGCUCAGGANCGAACGCUGGCGGCGAUGCCUAAUACAUGCAAGUCGAGCGAACAGAGAAGGAGCUUGCUCCUUUGACGUUAGCGGCGGACGGGUGAGUAACACGUGGGCAACCUACCUUAUAGUUUGGGAUAACUCCGGGAAACCGGGGCUAAUACCGAAUAAUCUAUUUUACUUCAUGGUGAAAUACUGAAAGACGGUUUCGGCUGUCGCUAUAAGAUGGGCCCGCGGCGCAUUAGCUAGUUGGUGAGGUAACGGCUCACCAAGGCGACGAUGCGUAGCCGACCUGAGAGGGUGAUCUGGCCACACUGGGACUGAGACACGGCCCAGACUCCUACGGGAGGCAGCAGUAGGGAAUCUUCCACAAUGGGCGAAAGCCUGAUGGAGCAACGCCGCGUNAGUGAAGAAGGUUUUUCGGAUCGUAAAACUCUAGUUGUAAGGGAAGAACCAUACAGUAAUAACUGGCUUGUACCUUGACGAACU